GACAGAGGAUGCAAGCGUUAUCCGGAAUGAUUGGGCGUAAAGCGUCCGCAGGUGGCUGUUCAAGUCUGCUGUCAAAGCGCAGAGCUUAACUCUGUACAGGCGGUGGAAACUGAAGAGCUAGAGUACGGUAGGGGCAGAGGGAAUUCCGGUGGAGCGGUGAAAUGCGUAGAGAUCGGAAAGACACCAACGGCGAAAGCACUCUGCUGGCCGACACUGACACUGAGAGACGAAAGCUAGGGGAGCGAAUGGG
rnacentral:rRNA from 1 species